AUGCAGUCGAGCGAACUGAUUAGAAGCUUGCUUCUAUGACGUUAGCGGCGGACGGGUGAGUAACACGUGGGCAACCUGCCUGUAAGACUGGGAUAACUCCGGGAAACCGGAGCUAAUACCGGAUAACAUUUUCUCUUGCAUAAGAGAAAAUUGAAAGAUGGUUUCGGCUAUCACUUACAGAUGGGCCCGCGGUGCAUUAGCUAGUUGGUGAGGUAACGGCUCACCAAGGCAACGAUGCAUAGCCGACCUGAGAGGGUGAUCGGCCACACUGGGACUGAGACACGGCCCAGACUCCUACCGGAGGCAGCAGUAGGGAAUCUUCCGCAAUGGACGAAAGUUUGACGGAGCAACGCCGCGUGAGUGAUGAAGGCUUUCGGGUCGUAAAACUCUGUUGUUAGGGAAGAACAAGUACAAGAGUAACUGCUUGUACCUUGACGGUACCUAACCAGAAAGCCACGGCUAACUACGUGCCAGCAGCCGCGGUAAUACGUAGGUGGCAAGCGUUAUCCGGAAUUAUUGGGCGUAAAGCGCGCGCAGGCGGUUUCUUAAGUCUGAUGUGAAAACCCACGGCUCAACCGUGGAGGGUCAUUGGAAACUGGGGAACUUGAGUGCAGAAGAGAAAAGCGGAAUUCCACGUGUAGCGGUGAAAUGCGUAGAGAUGUGGAGGAACACCAGUGGCGAAGGCGGCCUUUUGGUCUGUAACUGACGCUGAGGCGCGAAAGCGUGGGGAGCAAACAGGAUUAG
rnacentral:rRNA from 1 species